UACGAGGGGGGCGAGCGUUGUUCGGAAUUAUUGGGCGUAAAGGGCGCGUAGGCGGUUGGGUAAGUCUUGUGUGAAAUCUUCGGGCUCAACUCGAAGUCUGCACGAGAAACUAUCUGGCUUGAGUGUGGGAGAGGUGAGUGGAAUUCCUGGUGUAGCGGUGAAAUGCGUAGAUAUCAGGAGGAACACCUGUGGCGAAGGCGGCUCACUGGACCACAACUGACGCUGAGGCGCGAAAGCUAGGGGAGCAAACAGG
rnacentral:rRNA from 1 species